AACGAACGCUGGCGGCAUGCCUAACACAUGCAAGUCGAGCGCACCCUUCGGGGUGAGCGGCGGACGGGUGAGUAACGCGUGGGAACGUGCCCUUCUCUACGGAAUAGCCUCGGGAAACUGAGAGUAAUACCGCAUACGCCCUUUUGGGGAAAGAUUUAUUGGAGAAGGAUCGGCCCGCGUUGGAUUAGGUAGUUGGUGGGGUAAUGGCACACCAAGCCGACGAUCCAUAACUGGUUUGAGAGGAUGAUCAGCCACACUGGGACUGAGACACGGCCCAGAAUCCUACGGGAGGCAGCAGUGGGGAACCUUAGACAAUGGGGGCAACGCUGAUCUAGCCAUGCCGGGUGAGUGAUGAAGGCCUUAGGGUUGUAAAGCUCUUUUAGCUGGGAAGAUAAUGACGGUACCAGCAGAAGAAGCCACGGCUAACUACGUG
rnacentral:rRNA from 1 species